rnacentral:piRNA from 2 species
UCGCUGCUCAGGGAGAGAGUUGAAAUGGUU